rnacentral:lncRNA from 1 species
GGGUUUUCUGCAGGGGAAGUUCUGAUUCCCUUAGCUGACGAAUAUGACCCUAUGUUUCCUAAUGAUUAUGAGAAAGUAGUGAAGCGCCAAAGAGAGGAACGACAGAGACAGCGGGAGCUGGAAAGACAAAAGGAAAUAGAAGAAAGGGAAAAAAGGCGUAAAGACAGACAUGAAGCAAGUGGGUUUGCAAGGAGACCAGAUCCAGAUUCUGAUGAAGAUGAAGAUUAUGAGCGAGAGAGGAGGAAAAGAAGUAAGGCAUGAACAAAUAUGUCUUAAACAUAUAUAAAUACUGGAAGUGCAAUUCCACUAUGUGCUUUUUCUUUUCAGUUUGAUAAAUAGUUCAUUUGACAUUGAUUUGGGUAAUUUUCUUUCUGGAAUCCCAGCAAUAC